ACGUCAACUGCUUUACACGAUUGGCAAAGUAAUCCUCAAACUUAAGUCGUGCCCAUUUUACACAGUCUUGGAAUGUCUCACAUCUUUCGUUGUCAAGGCACUCAAGAACUUGUUCAAGAAGAUCCCUAGCCUGAGCAUCACCAGCACUUCUCAUGGCGGAAGCAUAUUGACUCGGAUUGGAGAGAAAAGCAUUCACUUCUUUAGGAGUUUUCUCCAGUAAGCCCUCAAACUCAGAACGGGCCCACGUCAGACAGUGAUCAAUGUUGUGAGGGAAAGAAUGAAGUGUGCACAUAGGUGCCUGCUUCUCAGGUGGAUCUCUGGAAGCCCCAUAAUUCUCCGUCAAGUGAGGUAUUACCAUCUGUGUGUUACACUUUGAACCAAGUGUACCAGAUUCCAAAAGCGGUUUCUGGAAAUAUACACACCUUGAGUCAAUGUAUAGUCGAGCAUUGAUAUUAUCCAGUGCAUUAAUGACAACAUUCAAG
rnacentral:misc_RNA from 1 species